AAACCCGGUGAUCUAGCCAUGGGCAGGUUGAAGGUUGGGUAACACUAACUGGAGGACCGAACCGACUAAUGUUGAAAAAUUAGCGGAUGACUUGUGGCUGGGGGUGAAAGGCCAAUCAAACCGGGAGAUAGCUGGUUCUCCCCGAAAGCUAUUUAGGUAGCGCCUCGUGAACUCAUCUUCGGGGGUAGAGCACUGUUUCGGCUAGGGGGCCAUCCCGGCUUACCAAACCGAUGCAAACUCCGAAUACCGAAGAAUGUUAUCACGGGAGACACACGGCGGGUGCUAACGUCCGUCGUGAAGAGGGAAACAACCCAGACCGCCAGCUAAGGUCCCAAAGUCAUGGUUAAGUGGGAAACGAUGUGGGAAGGCACAGACAGCCAGGAUGUUGGCUUAGAAGCAGCCAUCAUUUAAAGAAAGCGUAAUAGCUCACUGGUCGAGUCGGCCUGCGCGGAAGAUGUAACGGGGCUAAACCAUGCACCGAAGCUGCGGCAGCGACGCUUAGGCGUUGUUGGGUAGGGGAGCGUUCUGUAAGCCGUUGAAGGUGGCCUGUGAGGGUUGCUGGAGGUAUCAGAAGUGCGAAUGCUGACAUAAGUAACGAUAAAGCGGGUGAAAAGCCCGCUCGCCGGAAGACCAAGGGUUCCUGUCCAACGUUAAUCGGGGCAGGGUGAGUCGACCCCUAAGGCGAGGCUGAAAAGCGUAGUCGAUGGGAAACAGGUUAAUAUUCCUGUACUUGGUGUUACUGCGAAGGGGGGACGGAGAAGGCUAGGCUAGCCGGGCGACGGUUGUCCCGGUUUAAGCGUGUAGGGGGUGUGACCUGGUAAAUCCGGUUGCAUAUCAACCCUGAGGCGUGAUGACGAUGCACUACGGUGCAGAAGUAGUUGAUGCCCUGCUUCCAGGAAAAUCCUCUAAGCUCCAGGUAACAUUGAAUCGUACCCCAAACCGACACAGGUGGUCAGGUAGAGAAUACCAAGGCGCUUGAGAGAACUCGGGUGAAGGAACUAGGCAAAAUGGUGCCGUAACUUCGGGAGAAGGCACGCUGGCAUGUAGGUGAAGUCCCUUGCGGAUGGAGCUGAAGCCAGUCGAAGAUACCAGCUGGCUGCAACUGUUUAAUAAAAACACAGCACUGUGCAAACACGAAAGUGGACGUAUACGGUGUGACGCCUGCCCGGUGCUGGAAGGUUAAUUGAUGGGGUCAGCCGCAAGGCGAAGCUCUUGAUCGAAGCCCCAGUAAACGGCGGCCGUAACUAUAACGGUCCUAAGGUAGCGAAAUUCCUUGUCGGGUAAGUUCCGACCUGCACGAAUGGCGUAAUGAUGGCCAGGCUGUCUCCACCCGAGACUCAGUGAAAUUGAACUCGCUGUGAAGAUGCAGUGUACCCGCGGCAAGACGGAAAGACCCCGUGAACCUUUACUAUAGCUUGACACUGAACAUUGAGCCUUGAUGUGUAGGAUAGGUGGGAGGCUUUGAAGCGUGGACGCCAGUCUGCGUGGAGCCAUCCUUGAAAUACCACCCUU
rnacentral:rRNA from 1 species